rnacentral:other from 2 species
AUUUACCUGAGGUGCUCGUCAGUGGGUUAUGUCCCUGAGCCGAUACUAUGAUCUUUAUGAAUUGGUUUCUAAUCCUUGGUGUGCAAGCUUAGCUCGACUAAGAAGCCUAAAAAUGAUUAUAACUGAUUCCCUUGAACCGUUUGGGUUCAAGGACUGCCACCUACAGCGGCAUCUCGGGUUCUUC